UGUAUCUGAAGCCUGACGAGGAUGAGAACCUCCGGGGGCAAGAGGUUCGACCCGAGCGAAGCGAGAGAACGUUGCGUCAGCAACGGCCCGCCAUCGACGCAAACCCCCACGACAG
rnacentral:sRNA from 1 species